rnacentral:tRNA from 2 species
UGGGGAGUCGCCAAGUGGUAAGGCAGCAGGUUUUGAUCCUGCCUAUCGAGGGUUCGAAUCCUUCCUCCCCAACCA